rnacentral:rRNA from 1 species
UACGGAGGGUGCAAGCGUUAUCCGGAUUCACUGGGUUUAAAGGGUGCGUAGGAGGGCAGGUAAGUCAGUGGUGAAAUCUUCGAGCUUAACUCGGAAACUGCCUUUGAUACUAUCUGUCUUGAAUAUUGUGGAGGUAAGCGGAAUAUGUCAUGUAGCGGUGAAAUGCUUAGAGAUGACAUAGAACACCCAUUGCGAAGGCAGCUUACUACGCAUAUAUUGACGCUGAGGCACGAAAGCGUGGGGAUCAAACAGG